AUUGAACGCUGGCGGCGUGCCUAACACAUGCAAGUCGAGCGGCAGCGCGGGAGCAAUCCUGGCGGCGAGCGGCGGACGGGUGAGUAACGCUUGGGAAUCUGCCUAUUAGUGGGGGACAACCCGGGGAAACGUCGGGCGUAAUACCGCAUACGCACUACGGUGGAAAGCCGGGACCGCAAGGCCUGGCGCUAACAGAUGAGCCCAAGUCGGAUUAGCUAGUUGGUAGGGUAACGGCCUACCAAGGCGACGAUCCGUAACUGGUCUGAGAGGACGACCAGUCACACCGGAAC
rnacentral:rRNA from 1 species